CCCUCGGCACAUAAGGCCCAUCAGGCAUAUAGAUUCCAGCAGGAUGGCGUUGCCCUCGUUCAAAUCGCUGCCAUGUGACGGGCUCUAAGUCCCAUAGCCCCAAUUGUGACCCAAUUCGAUGAGCAAAAGUGUGUGUGUGUGUGUGCGCGGGGCUCUUGGCCAUUUAACGAUUAGUGGCCAUAACGGCAAAGUGUUUGUUUAUUUUGUUGUGCGGCCGCAGAAACGAUUCCAAAAAUGAUUGCAUAAUUGACUUUUGGGGGGACAAAUCGCGCGACACGCUCAGCAUACAUUUCGAUUUGUGUUCCUAUUUCACUUGUGAUUCCAAUACAAUUCAUGAGCCAUGAAGAAGCUUCACCUGGGCGCCAAGCACAAGGGCAAGUCCUACAAGCCCUUCAGGAACAAGAACCGUCGGGGUUCUGCCGACUCGAACUACUCACAACCGUCAUCCGAUCUGUCGCUAGACGAGGAAAAGGAAUCGCUUCGGCGAGAAAAGGAACGUCAGGCCUUAAGCCAGUUGGAUAAAGCGAGGAGCAAACCAGUGGCGUUCGCUGUGCGAACCAACGUAGCAUACGAUGGCGCCAUCGACGACGAUUCGCCGGUGCAGGGCGGAGCAGUUUCGUUCGAGAUCCGGGAGUUCCUGCACAUCAAAGAGAAGUACGACAAUAACUGGUGGAUCGGCCGGCUGGUCAAGGAGGGCUGUGAUGUGGGCUUCAUACCCAGCCCCGCUAAGCUAGACAACAUUCGCAUGCAGAACCAAACCAGACCCUCAAGACUGUAUGGCACAAAGGGCUCGUCGAGCGGGAAUCUUGGUGCGGGCGGACAAGCAGGUGCGGAGCCAUCUCGAGAUUCCAUGGGACCAGGACGACACGGCAAGACACCGGCGGCGGCGGCCAACAAGGAGAAGCGGAAGCCGUUCUUCAAGAAACAGGAGACGGCCAGUCCCUACGAUGUGGUGCCUUCGAUGCGUCCCGUCGUCCUAGUGGGGCCCAGUUUGAAGGGCUACGAGGUGACCGACAUGAUGCAGAAGGCCCUCUUCGACUUCCUCAAGCACCGCUUCGAGGGCCGCAUCAUCAUCACCCGGGUGAUGGCCGACAUCUCGCUGGCCAAGCGCUCCAUCAUGAACAAUCCCUCGAAGCGGGCCAUCAUGGAGCGAUCCUCCAGCCGGAGCGACUGCCUCGGCAAGGUGCAGGAGGAGAUCGAGCGCAUCUUCGAGCUGGCCCGCUCGCUCCAGCUGGUCGUGCUCGAUUGUGAUACAAUCAAUCAUCCGUCACAACUAGCGAAAACUUCAUUAGCGCCAACAAUAGUGUACUUAAAGAUUAGUAGUAGUAAGGUUUUACAGCGUUUGAUCAAAUCACGUGGCAAGUCGCAGGCGAAAAACCUCUCCGUUCAAAUGGUUGCCGCCGAGAAGCUAGCCCAAUGUCCACCGGAUAUGUUCGAUGUAAUCCUAGACGAGAAUCAGCUGGAAGACGCCUGCGAGCACAUUGCCGAGUACUUAGAGACGUACUGGAAGGCCACCCACCCGGACAUUCGAGCCGUGCCGCCCAUCGCCCGCCCCCUGCCGCAGGAGGCCUCGCCCUCCGCAGAUCCCGCGCGUCUGGGACCGACGCCUCCAGUUACACCGGGCGUUGUGCGCCUGUAAGCCGCCGCAAUCCGCGCCAAGCCCUUCUACUCGAAUUCUCACAUUCUUCCGGGUGUUUUCCUAGAUCAGCUCAACUCAACCCAAAUCAGCUCAGUUAUAAUAUUUAUAUAUGUGUACAUGUAUUCCGUUGUUGUCGAACCUUAUGUUUUCACCAUUUCAAGUUGCAAAACCAAAUCAUCCAAUCGUUUAGAUCUGGUUUAGAGGAACCUCUUACCAGCACAGCCGCCGACAACCGACCUCGGUUCGCCACCAGGAGCGCGGCGGAGGAGUGGGCGCAGGCGGC
rnacentral:misc_RNA from 1 species